rnacentral:rRNA from 1 species
UGUCCAGACUCCUACGGGAGGCAGCAGUGGGGAAUAUUGCACAAUGGGGGAAACCCUGAUGCAGCAACGCCGCGUGAGUGAAGAAGUAUUUCGGUCUGUAAAGCUCUAUCAGCAGGGAAGAAGAAGGACGGUACCUGACUAAGAAGCCCCGGCUAACUACGUGCCAGCAGCCGCGGUAAUACGUAGGGGGCAAGCGUUAUCCGGAUUUACUGGGUGUAAAGGGGGCGCAGACGGCGAUGCAAGCCAGGAGUGAAAGCCCGGGGCCCAACCCCGGGACUGCUCUUGGAACUGCGUGGCUGGAGUGCAGGAGGGGCAGGCGGAAUUCCUGGUGUAGCGGUGAAAUGCGUAGAUAUCAGGAGGAACACCGGUGGCGAAGGCGGCCUGCUGGACUGCAACUGACGUUGAGGCCCGAAAGCGUGGGGAGCAAACAGGAUUAGAUACCCGAGUA